rnacentral:tRNA from 1 species
GCGGAAAUAGCUCAAUUGGCAGAGCGACGCUCUCAUAAGGCGUAGGUCCUGAGUUCGAUUCUCAGUUUCCGCA